AUUAAAUUAUCAUAAUCAAUGUAUUAAACUUAGAAUUUAAAUAAGCUAAUUUGGCAUUUAAUA
rnacentral:tRNA from 1 species